rnacentral:rRNA from 1 species
GACGAACGCUGGCGGCAGGCCUAACACAUGCAAGUCGAGCGGAGCGGCGGACGGGUGAGUAAUGCCUAGGAAUCUGCCUGGUAGUGGGGGAUAACGUCCGGAAACGGGCGCUAAUACCGCAUACUAUCAGAUGAGACUAGGUCGGAUUAGCUAGUCGGUGGGGUAACGGCCUACCGAGGCUAUGACGCGUAACUGGUCUGAGAGGAUGAUCAGUCACACUGUAACUGAGACACGGUCCAGACUCCUACGGUAGGCAGCAGUGGGGAAUAUUGGCCAAUGGGCGAAAGCCUGAUCCAGCCAUGCCGCGUGUGUGAAGAAGGUCUUCGGAUUGUAAAGCACUUUAAGUUGGGAGGCGUUACCAACAGAAUAAGCACCGGCUAACUUCGUGCCAGCCGCCGCGGUAAUAC